rnacentral:rRNA from 1 species
UACGGGGGGGGCAAGCGUUGUUCGGAAUUACUGGGCGUAAAGGGCUCGUAGGCGGCCAACUAAGUCAGACGUGAAAUCCCUCGGCUUAACCGGGGAACUGCGUCUGAUACUGGAUGGCUUGAGUUUGGGAGAGGGAUGCGGAAUUCCAGGUGUAGCGGUGAAAUGCGUAGAUAUCUGGAGGAACACCGGUGGCGAAGGCGGCAUCCUGGACCAACACUGACGCUCAGGAGCGAAAGCGUGGGGAGCGAUCCGG